GCUCGUCUAGUUGAGUCAGUAGAGCAUGAGACCCUUAAUCUCAGGGUCGAGGGUUCGAGCCCCACGUUGGGCG
rnacentral:tRNA from 1 species